rnacentral:rRNA from 1 species
AUUGAACGCUGGCGGCAGGCCUAACACAUGCAAGUCGAACGGUAACAGGAAGAAGCUUGCUUCUUUGCUGACGAGUGGCGGACGGGUGAGUCAUGUCUGGGAAACUGCCUGAUGGAGGGGGAUAACUACUGGAAACGGUAGCUAAUACCGCAUAACGUCGCAAGCCCAAAGAGGGGGACCUUCGGGCCUCUUGCCGUCGGAUGUGCCCAGAUGGGAUUAGCUAGUAGGUGGGGUAACGGCUCACCUAGGCGACGAUCCCUAGCUGGUCUGAGAGGAUGACCAGCCACACUGGAACUGAGACACGGUCCAGACUCCUACGGGAGGCAGCAGUGGGGAAUAUUGCACAAUGGGCGCAAGCCUGAUGCAGCCAUGCCGCGUGUAUGAAGAAGGCCUUCGGGUUGUAAAGUACUUUCAGCGGGGAGGAAGGGAGUAAAGUUAAUACCUUUGCUCAUUGACGUUACCCGCAGAAGAAGCACCGGCUAACUCCGUG